UACGGAAGGCAGCAGUGGGGAAUAUUGCACAAUGGGCGCAAGCCUGAUGCAGCCAUGCCGCGUGUAUGAAGAAGGCCUUCGGGUUGUAAAGUACUUUCAGUCGUGAGGAAGGUGUUAAGGUUAAUAACCUUAGCAAUUGACGUUAGCGACAGAAGAAGCACCGGCUAACUCCGUGCCAGCAGCCGCGGUAAUACGGAGGGUGCGAGCGUUAAUCGGAAUUACUGGGCGUAAAGGGCACGCAGGCGGUUAAUUAAGUUGGAUGUGAAAUCCCCGGGCUUAACCUGGGAAUGGCAUUCAAGACUGGUUAGCUAGAGUCUUGUAGAGGGGGUAGAAUUCCAUGUGUAGCGGUGAAAUGCGUAGAGAUGUGGAGGAAUACCGGUGGCGAAGGCGGCCCCGUGGACAAAGACUGACGCUCAUGUGCGAAAGCGUGGGGAGCAAACAGGAUUAGAUACC
rnacentral:rRNA from 1 species